CAGCCAGGAAGUCAAGGUUUCACUUCCUCAUAGAGAGUGGAUUUCCAGAAGGACUCUAUUCGGAACCUAAAAAGGCUUACUGGUCUGAUAGAAGCUGGCAGAAUCCAUUGGCCUGGAACUGAACUCACCCCAUGGCGCAACUUCUCAGCCAAAUGAUACGUGGGAACACCACCAGCAGGAAGGGUCAAUUAUCUACCUGUGAACAUGCGCCACAUGCAAUACCAUGACGCCACUUCUUCAUAAUCG